rnacentral:rRNA from 1 species
GAGGAGCACGAAGGUUAGCUAAUCCUGGUCGGACAUCAGGAGGUUAGUGCAAUGGCAUAAGCUAGCUUGACUGCGAGCGUGACGGCGCGAGCAGGUGCGAAAGCAGGUCAUAGUGAUCCGGUGGUUCUGAAUGGAAGGGCCAUCGCUCAACGGAUAAAAGGUACUCCGGGGAUAACAGGCUGAUACCGCCCAAGAGUUCAUAUCGACGGCGGUGUUUGGCACCUCGAUGUCGGCUCAUCACAUCCUGGGGCUGAAGUAGGUCCCAAGGGUAUGGCUGUUCGCCAUUUAAAGUGGUACGCGAGCUGGGUUUAGAACGUCGUGAGACAGUUCGGUCCCUAUCUGCCGUGGGCGCUGGAGAAUUGAGGGGGGCUGCUCCUAGUACGAGAGGACCGGAGUGGACGCAUCACUGGUGUUCGGGUUGUCAUGCCAAUGGCACUGCCCGGUAGCUAAAUGCGGAAGAGAUAAGUGCUGAAAGCAUCUAAGCACGAAACUUGCCCCGAGAUGAGUUCUCCCUGAGACUU